UACAGAGGGGGGCAAGCGUUGUUCGGAAUUACUGGGCGUAAAGGGCGCGUAGGCGGCCUUCUAAGUCAGACGUGAAAUCCCCGGGCUCAACCCGGGAACUGCGUCUGAUACUGGAAGGCUUGAAUCCGGGAGAGGGAUGUGGAAUUCCAGGUGUAGCGGUGAAAUGCGUAGAUAUCAGGAGGAACACCAAUUGCGAAGGCAGCUCGCUGGAACGUAACUGACGCUGGAGAACGCGAAAGCGUGGGGAGCAAACAGG
rnacentral:rRNA from 1 species